ACUUNGCGGGCAUGCCUUACACAUGCAAGUCGAACGGCAUCACGGACUCUCGGUCUGGUGGCGAGUGGCGAACGGGUGAGUAAAGUAUCGGAACAUACCUUGUAGUGGGGGAUAACUAUCCGAAAGGAUAGCUAAUACCGCAUACGCUCUGAGGAGGAAAGCGGGGGAUCUUCGGACCUCGUGCUAUAAGAGUGGCCGAUAUCUGAUUAGCUAGUUGGUGAGGUAAAGGCUCACCAAGGCGACGAUCAGUAGCUGGUCUGAGAGGACGGCCAGCCACACUGGAACUGAGACACGGUCCAGACUCCUACGGGAGGCAGCAGUGGGGAAUUUUGGACAAUGGGGGCAACCCUGAUCCAGCUAUAUUUCUCGCGUGAGUGAAGAAGGCCNUCGGGUUGUAAAGCUCUUUUGUNAGGGAAGAUAANGNCGGGGCUNAUAUNCUUCGCUGCUGANNGCUNCCUGNNCAAUAACCACCGGCCAACUACGUGCCAUUCACCCGCGGNAAUACUCUAGUGGUGCANGCGUUAAUCGUNAAUUACUGGUUNAUAAAGCGUGCUGCANAGCGGUUUCNCUAAGUCUGAUGUGAAAUCCCCGGGCUCAACCUGGUAAUUGCAUUGGAGACUGCGAGGCUAGAAUCUGGCAGAGGGGGGUANAAUUCCACGUGUAGCANUGNAAUGCGUAAAGAUGUGCUAGGANCACCGAUGGNGAAGGCAGCCCCCUGGGUCAAGAUUGACGCUCAUGCACUAAAAGCGUGGGGAGCNAACAGNCAUUAGAUACCCUGGUAAUCCACNCCCUAANCUUNUGUCUACUANUUGUCGGGUUUUAAUUAACUUGNUAACNCACCUAANNCNUGAANUACACCNCCUGGNNAGUACGGUCUCANGAUUAAAACUCACAAGGAAUUGACGGGGGCCCGCACANUGCUACCGGUGGAUGAUGUGGAUUAAUUCGAUGCAACUCGAAAAACCUUACCUACCCUUGACAUGGCAGGAAUUCCGAAGAGAUUUGGAAGUGCUCGCAAGAGAACCUGCACACAGGUGCUGCAUGGCUGUCGUCAGCUCGUGUCGUGAGAUGUUGGGUUAAGUCCCGCAACGAGCGCAACCCUUGUCAUUAGUUGCUACGAAAGGGCACUCUAAUGAGACUGCCGGUGACAAACCGGAGGAAGGUGGGGAUGACGUCAAGUCCUCAUGGCCCUUAUGGGUAGGGCUUCACACGUCAUACAAUGGUACAUACAGAGGGCCGCCAACCCGCGAGGGGGAGCUAAUCCCAGAAAGUGUAUUUUAGUCCGGAUUGUAGUCUGCAACUCGACUACAUGAAGUUGGAAUCGCUAGUAAUCGCGGAUCAGCAUGUCGCGGUGAAUACGUUCCCGGGUCUUGUACACACCGCCCGUCACACCAUGGGAGCGGGUUCUGCCAGAAGUAGGUAGCUUAACCGUAAGGAGGGCGCUUACCACGGCAGGGUUCGUGACUGGGGUGAAGUCGUAACAAGGUANCC
rnacentral:rRNA from 1 species